GACGAACCGUGCGAACGUUGUUCGGAACCACUGGGUUUAAAGGGCGCGUAGGCGGGCUGUCAAGUCGGUGGUGAAAUCUUUCAGCUUAACUGGAAAAUGGCCUUCGAUACUGGCGGUCUGGAGGGAGGUAGGGGCAUGCGGAACUUCCGGUGGAGCGGUGAAAUGCGUAGAUAUCGGAAAGAACACCAACGGCGAAAGCACUCUGCUGGGCCGACACUGACACUGAGAGACGAAAGCUAGGGGAGCGAAUGGG
rnacentral:rRNA from 1 species